rnacentral:lncRNA from 1 species
CUUUGGACAGGGUGUUUCUAAGUAUUGGUCUUCUGUGCUCUGUUACAGGUGUGAGUGAGUGAUGGCCAUCCCGUGAGCAGCGGGGAUGUACUCCCUUGAAGGCAUGCAAGUGUGUGAUUAAGGGAUAUACAUGCAUGACUCCAGGAUUUACUUCCUUCCUGUCCCACAGAGUUACUGAAGGGAGUGAGUUAUGGGAUAAUUUAUAACACGGCAGGCCCUUCCUGAAGACAGCCCUCGUCAAAACAGGAAGAUGAAACUCAGGUUUCAACGAGCAGACCACAGCUUGGGAUACUUUUUAAUUACAAGCAGAAAAAUCUUCAUACUUUUUCAUUUCCAACUCCUGUGCCCUCAAAGAGAUGUCUGCUUUAAGAUGGAGCUAUCUAGGGGAGCCUGUCAACUCUUCGCUGAGCUCUCCUUGUGGAUGUGGAUGUUUUGACAUCUUCAGCCUCAGACUUUGUGUCAGUCUUAGCAGCUGAAGAAGCUGGGGACCAGAAAGCCAGUAAGAAGAUUCAGAAAUCAAGAGGAGGAGAUGUCUUUAAGUGAGAAAAGCCAAAGAUGACAUCUGACACACAGAGUGGAUUUUACAAAAGUUCUGAGGCCGAGACACUGCAAAGGAGAACUGCAGCGGCUGUGAAGUAGUUGGAGGGAAGGAGUCCUGACAUAAAAGUCAAACCAAGAUUAUCCUGUUGGAAUGCCAGAGGGCAUGUGCACGCUCACAAGCUUCGAUAUUAUUGGCACAGGAAGCGGCACAUAUGCUUAAAUAUGGAUUUCCUUUGCUAUUUGGAGACCCUUUCCCUGUGUUGCUGUUUUGGUAGGCUGCCAUUACCCUCCAUUUGGUUAGCUUGGAUGGAGUAUCUCUUGCCUUGGAUCUUACAGAUCCAAGUCUGGUGGCACCUGGUCACGAUGACAGCAAGACCUAUCCUGAAGAUUUUCAAAUCCUGAAUGUAUGGGGCUUCAUGACUCUCCCUCCUUAUGGAACACCAGACCCCAGGUUUAGCUCAGGGUACUUAGGAGAGAAAGAAGACAUAUAAUGAAUCCUGGAUCUGCAAGAAGGCCGUCUCACUCACAUUUCCCUUGCUGUGAUAAAAUGCCACAAAAAGGCAACUUAUAAAAGAUGGCUAAAUUUGGCUUAUGGUUUCAGAGGGUUAGAGUUCAUGGUGGUUCAGUGAAGCCUCAGCUUACAUCUUAUCUACAACUGAGAGAGAGAGAGAGAGAGAGAGAGAGAGAGAGAGAGAGAGAGAGAGAGAGAGAGAGAGAGAGAGAGGAGACAUACUGGGACUAGUAGGAGUCUUUUGAAACCUCAUAGCCCACCCCCAGUGGUACACCUUCUCCAAGAAGGCAAUCCCUCCUAAUCCUUUGCAAACAGUUCCACCAACUGGGGACCAAGUAUUCAAAUAUAUGAGCCUAUGGGGGCCAUUCUCAUUCAAGUUAUCACAAGCAAUAAAUAAAGAAGGGCUCCAGUGAGUGGGAAGUCU